GGCUGCUGAGGCUAACUGAGUGUGUACCGAAUUUAUACGUUUCGUAAUUUGGAUAUGGAUCGUGGACUCUUAAAUAACGGAGCCGUCGGCGACCGAGUGGAGGGCAGUUUUCAACCAUCAGAUUCACCUUUUUAUCCUAGAGCACCGCAACAGCCUGUCUCAGCAGCAUACCCAACUCAUCCCCAGUUCGAUGCUAAUUAUGGAUAUUAUUCUGUGAACCAGGAAAGCCCAUCUCAGUUUGGAGACAGCUAUGCAGCAGCAGUAAAUCCAUACCAAGCAGCGGCUCCCCACCAUGGAAUGAGUUACAACAACCCACAGCAGUCCCUUUAUGGCUCGGCGCUGUCGCCUGCCGCCAGCGCUCAUUAUGGCUCCUCCAACCAUGGUGGGGCCCAGUAUCCAGGUGGUGGGGGCGGGGGUCAGCAGUGGCCUGGUGGGCCACAGCAACAAUUGGGAAGUUCACCUACUCCAUCUCCUGCCCACACUCCCCCAGCUGCUACCGCACAGUACCACCAUCACCACCGACAGUGGCCAGCCCAAGGACCAGCGACUGGAGCCCAAGGCCCUCCUGGGUACUAUCCUCGAGGGGCCGGUCCAGGCCCUAUGCCACAACAUGCACAUGUUGGUGGUGCUUGGGCUAAAUCAGGUCAUGGUCAUGGCCAGCCUGGUGUGGGUGUUGGUGUAGGUGCUGCAGGUGCUACUGGACCCCUCUUCAGUUUACAGCUAUUGGUGAACCAAGAAAUGAACCGUGCUGCAUUAGCUUCAGCAGCUGCAGCUGGGGUUGGUGUUCCAGUCGCAGGGUCUCCAGGAGGUGGCGUUCCCCCAUCGCACCAGCACCAACAGCCAGUGCCCAGUGUUGUAGCAGAGGGAAGUGUUGAUUUAAGUGCUGACAGUUACCGCCGCCCUCUUCCUCUUACUCACAGACCACAGCAGUCACAAUUACAGCAGCAGCCCUUGCCACUUAACGGGGAGGUUAGCAAAGAUACGGUAAGUGUCAUUGCCCAGACGCCACGAAAGCUGACAAUGCCCUCUCAGCUUACCCCAAUGUCACCCGCAACACUGGAACCAAGUCGGCCAUCACCAGAAAUUACUUCUGAUAGAGGAGGUGGUGCAGCUAUCAGUGGAGACAAACACGAACCUGCAGUAGCACCUGCGACGUCAAGUCCGUCAGUUCCCAGUGUUGUUAGUGGUUCUGCUGUAAUGGCGCCUGUUGCAGCACCAGCACCUGCUCCAGCACACACACCAACGCCACCACCUCCUCCAGAAUCCCCUGCCAGUCGUCACUCAGAUGAUGGCCACCAAUUGCCACCACCAGGAGUGCAGCAGCAACCACAACCGAGACCAUCACCUUCACCGUCACCAGCCCCUACAUCUUCCAAAGAUCUUGGGCCAGUCUCACCUGUGCGAUCUCCAAAGAGUGGCACAAUAAAACGCACGAAGAAAGUUGAUUCAAUCCUGGAAAACCUUGUUGAGAGUGGUACCAAGAAGGGGAGUGCACAGAGCACUAGCUCAGGUUCUGAACAUUCUCCACAAACUCCUGUCAGCACGGUUGUUGUGGCUCCUGCAUCUGUAAUUGUGUCUCCAGCAGUCACAAGUGAAGAUAGCGGUGGUGGUCGUGAUGCACAGUCCCCGUCACCCGGUGAUUCUGCUGUUCCACAGAGGCCUGCUAGUAGAGCACAUGAAGAUGGCACUACAUCACCUACAUUCAAUGGGAGCACAGAUGAAGACAAUGGCAAGCCAAGACGGAAACGGAAACUUGACAAACCUGUCAGAGUUGCAAAGACAUCCAGUGAUACGGAGAGUAAUAGUAACAGCUCAAAAGCACCAGGAUCAGAAGAUACUGUGACAGCUCCAGUUGACGUGCCUGAUAGUUCAGAGAAACUGAAAGAAGCUGUGAAAGUGGAGCCAGUGGUCACUGAAAGUGAAACUGUAACCAAAUUGACUGGGCUGCUGUCUGAUCAUUCUGAAAGUGAUAUAAAGAGGGAAGAGGACAGUAAACCUGCAGAAAAAGAAGUGACAAAAGAAGCUGUUAACAAUAUUGUAGCUGCACCCUCGGAGAAUACUGACUCUGUAGAAUCAUCUGUGAAAAGUGAAAGUGUUCCACAAAAGAAUGAUAACGCAGAUGACCUCCUUUCCGUUCUCAACUCUGAUAGUGUGAAAUCUGAGCCAAAAUUAGAGCCAAAAAGUACUAUAAUUGAUGUUGAAACUGAACUUGAGAAAAUGUUUGCAGGAAUUGUAGAGGAAGAUAAUAUUUCUUCAGAUACUGUGAAAGCGGAAGUUCCAUCAUCAUCUGUUACAGAUUCUUCCACAAUGGCAGCAAAGGCAUUAGAAUGUUUAAGUGGUUCUGAAAAUACUUCGCUGUCUGUGACUGCAACUCCAGCUCCACCACCACCGCCACAAGAUACAAAACCACGAGUUUCAAAACGAGGCCGGCCCAAGGGUUCACGAAAUAGUUCACAUCGUUCUUCCGAUAAUGUCCUAGGCCUCUCUUCAUCAGAGAAUACACCCAAGAAAAAGAAAAGGAAACAGGCAGGACGGGUUAGUGGGAUAAGUGAUGAAGGGCUGUCAUCACACAAGAAAAAGGUGAAGCGACCAAAACUUGAAGCGGGUGCAACUUGUGACAGCCCCAUACCUUUGGCAGCCGGAAGAAGACGGGGCCGUGAUGCGAGUGGUGUUGCAACUGACAGUGGUAGUAAUGCCAGCAGUGGGAGGUCACGAGGCCCUGUGGUUCAUCUAGAAGGACCCCGUGACAGUCCCUACAGUGUUACUGUAGUUAAUGGCCCAGCUCGUUUGGAUGAUGAUGAAGGCAAUGACAGGAAAACAUCAAUAGGUUCCAGUCGUCGCAAGAAUUCAUCCUACCAUAAUGAUCUUGAGUACAGGGGUAAAGGUGGUGGUGGGCUAUUCAGCAGCACAUUGUCGGCACGAUAUGAUGCGCACACAUCAGAUCCAACGUGGAUUUGUGUUUUUUGUAAGAGCGGCCCACAUUCGGCACUUGGUAGUGGUGAUCUCUUUGGUCCUUAUCUCGUAUCUCGACCAGAACGCGAGUUGCCUGCAUCAGCAGAUGAGAAAGAUAUAGUUGAGGAGCAGUCACGCGGUGGCAGUGGUACACGUGGCAAACGAAGUCUUCGCACUGCACACAUGGUUGAACAUUUCCAUCAAAAAAUGUCAAAGAAGGCAAAGCGAUCACAUUCAGUUGAUGGAAGUGUUGCUGUAGCUGGAAUGACACCAGUUGGUAAGGAUGAUAGUUGCUACGAGGUGUGGACACAUGAAGAAUGUGCAGUAUGGGCAGCUGGUGUACAUUUAGUGGGUACACGUAUUGUUGGACUGCAGGAAGCUGUUUGGGGUGCUGUACGCACUACAUGUACCAAGUGUGGUGAGGGAGGUGCAAGCUUGGGUUGUGUACGUAGAGGCUGUGACCUGAGGGCUCAUUAUGGCUGUGCUCAGGACAUGAGUUGGUUAUUGGAAGAGGAAAAUUACGUUGCCAAGUGCACACAGCACAAGAUUACAAGCAAGGGGAGAUGAUUGCACUGGGAUGGAGGCAUGAGGAUGCAUGGUAUAAAAUAGAAACUCAUAUUUUAGUGAUGAUGGAAUUACGCAGAAUGAAAGACUGUUACUCAAGAUUUCUGAUUUUUUUUAAAGAUAUAUACCUGUUGCACUGUAAAUACUGAAAGUUUGUAAAAGCAGACUGAAAUCUGAAGUGUGUUGGUAAAAAGAGUAAUAAGGACUGUAAUUAUGGGUCUGAAGACUUAGUGAACACAACAUGCAAUGGACACUAUGUGCUGAUCAUGAUGAACUGGUCAUUCUCACAAAGUUCCCUGUGAAAUUGUAAUUUUUAUGAGUGAAUGUUGUAUGACACCCAACUUUAUUUUCAUUUCAUUAAUAUUUUCCUCAUAUCCUGCAGAAGAUGAAGAGAAACGGCUACAAGAACAACUUGUAAAUAUGGUGGAGUUUCCUCUUCAGAAAACGUUCUUCCAACUUAAUUGCAGGUACCAAAGUGUAAAUUCAACUUGAUGUACCUGGGUUCAAGAUG